rnacentral:rRNA from 1 species
AACGAACGCUGGCGGCAGGCCUAACACAUGCAAGUCGAACGCCGUAGCAAUACGGAGUGGCAGACGGGUGAGUAACACGUGGGAACGUACCCUCGGUUCGGGAUAACUCAGGGAAACGUUAGAGCUAAUACCGGAUACGUCCGAGAGGAGAAAGAUUUAUCGCCGAGGGAUCGGCCCGCGUCUGAUUAGCUUGUUGGUGAGGUAACGGCUCACCAAGGCGACGAUCAGUAGCUGGUCUGAGAGGAUGAUCAGCCACAUUGGGACUGAGACACGGCCCAAACUCUACGGGAGGCAGCAGUGGGGAAGUAUUGGACAAUGGGCGGCAAGCCUGAUCCAGCCAUGCCGCGUGAGUGAUGAAGGCCC